rnacentral:rRNA from 1 species
AUACGGAGGAUGCGAGCGUUAUCCGGAUUUAUUGGGUUUAAAGGGUGCGUAGGCGGUCGGGUAAGCGUAGGGUGAAAGUCCUCUGCUCAACAGAGGAAGUGCCUUCCGAACUGUCCGACUGGAAUGCUCCUGCCGUGGGAGGGAUGUGUGGUGUAGCGGUGAAAUGCAUAGAGAUCACACAGAACACCGAUUGCGAAGGCAUCUCACGAAGGGGCUAUUGACGCUGAGGCACGAAAGCGUGGGGAUCAAACAGGAUUAGAUACCCUGGUAGUCCACGCAGUAAACGAUGAUGACUAACCGUCGGCGGUAGACCGCCGGUGGCCAAGCGAAAGCGAUAAGUCAUCCACCUGGGGAGUACGACCGCAAGGUUGAAACUCAAAGGAAUUGACGGGG